AACGCAAAUUGCACUCUCUGGUACUCCGGAGAGUAUGCCUAUUUGAGGGUCGAUUUAAAUACAAAUCGGUGUGUUCUUAUCGAACACGUCGGAAUUGGGUGAUCUCGAAUCUUCGAGUUUGAGUGACCUAAAAUUUAUCAUCACUUCGGUAUGAUUGCGUACUUAAAUUCGUCGCUUCAAAUGCCGAAAACGUAUUUAUUAGACGUAACCAUCCAUUAUGUGAUGGCAUUACGUCUAUAAUUUUCGAAUUUCGACCUCAAAUUAGGUAAGAAUACCCGCUGAACUUAA
rnacentral:misc_RNA from 1 species